UAAGUACUUUUCGAAGCCAAA
rnacentral:piRNA from 1 species